GUUCCUACGGGAGGCAGCAGUGGGGAAUAUUGCACAAUGGGGGGAACCCUGAUGCAGCGACGCCGCGUGGGUGAGGAAGUACUUCGGUAUGUAAAGCCCUAUCAGCAGGGAAGAAAAUGACGGUACCUGACUAAGAAGCCCCGGCUAACUACGUGCCAGCAGCCGCGGUAAUACGUAGGUGGCAAGCGUUGUCCGGAUUUACUGGGUGUAAAGGGCGUGUAGCCGGGCUGACAAGUCAGAUGUGAAAUCCGGGGGCUCAACCCCCGAACUGCAUUUGAAACUGUUGGUCUUGAGUAUCGGAUAGG
rnacentral:rRNA from 1 species